CACUCGCUCAGCGCAUCUCCUGGGGUACAGCUCCCUCAAGCCCUGAGCCCACCUGCAAUUCUCACCCCACCAAUCCCCCCUUUUUAAGGGUGUGUGGGUGUGGGUGUGUGUGUGUGUGUGUGUGUGCGCGGCACACGGCACGGCCACCCGCCCGCCCGCAGGGCACGGCAACAAGGUCUCCAUUGAGCGCGGCGGGACGGGGGGAGCCGGGGGCCGGUGUUACCCACACUCCUGCCGUGGAAGGCUCCCGGCGCUGCACCGCACGCGUGGCAGCCGGCACAGCUCCCGGGGCCCGGCAGCCCUGGCUGGGUGCCGGGAUAAGCGGUCUGGCCGGCGGCUCAGGCUGGAAUUAGGGGUGGACAGAGCCAGGGGGAGAGCAGGGAGGAUGCAAACGCGGCUGGGGAGAUGGGGCAAGCCAAACUCGCCAUGUCAGCACCCCAAACCGCAGCCCUUCCCACGGGGCCACCCUUGGCCCACCGCCUCCCAGCAAACCUCCAGGAGAGCGGGCCCAGCGAGGGGCCCAGCAACCUGGUGUCCCACAACCCCACCAGCAAUGCCAACCCACGGGACACCAGCAGCAGGCAGGGGACACCCACGGCCCAAGAGGGAUGUGGUUUGGGACAGGCAAUGUCCGGCCCCACACAGCCCCGAGGGAGCACACCCGCAUCCCGGCCG